AUUGAACGCUGGCGGCAUGCCUUACACAUGCAAGUCGAACGGUAACAGGUCUUCGGAUGCUGACGAGUGGCGAACGGGUGAGUAAUGUAUCGGAACGUGCCCAGUAGUGGGGGAUAGCCCGGCGAAAGCCGGAUUAAUACCGCAUACGACCUACGGGUGAAAGGGGGGGAUCGCAAGACCUCUCGCUAUUGGAGCGGCCGAUAUCAGAUUAGGUAGUUGGUGGGGUAAAGGCCCACCAAGCCUACGAUCUGUAGUUGGUCUGAGAGGACGACCGACCACACUGGGACUGAGACACGGCCCAGACUCCUACGGGAGGCAGCAGUGGGGAAUUUUGGACAAUGGGGGCAACCCUGAUCCAGCAAUGCCGCGUGCAGGAAGAAGGCCCUCGGGUUGUAAACUGCUUUUGUCAGGGAAGAAAUCUUUUGGGCUAAUACCCCGGGAGGAUGACGGUACCUGAAGAAUAAGCACCGGCUAACUACGUGCCAGCCGCCGCAGUAACAC
rnacentral:rRNA from 1 species